AAAAUAAUUCCCUUUGACAAUACUAUUGCCGUAUUUUAUUUUUCUCCAACUCUUUCUCUUCUAUUUCUCCAAUUUCAAAGCUAAAAACCAACAAUUGGUAUCAAAAGCCUAUUUUAUUUCUCUAAUUUCAAAGCUAAAAACCAACAAAGUGCUUCCAAUUAGGAUCUCUUCAUUUCCAUGACAUGAACUCGAGAUUUCUCACUAAAUUAAGAUCUGGUUAACAUUAAUUUAAUCAAGAUGGUGUGCUUAAGAUGCUUAAAAUUGCUUUCACUAAAAAUAUAAGUACCUAAUCAUGCCUAGGCCAAGUAAUAUCUCCUUUACAUCCAAAAGCUAAUUGAUACCAUUUUUUUUUAAAUUUCUUUCAUUUACUAGAUAUUUUAUACCUAGAAAAUACAAUAUCUUAUUUCACAGAAAAAUAUCUAAAAGAAAUAGAAAAAGCUCAUGGUUGGAAGUAGCUACUAAUCCUGACUUAGUGAGUUCUUACUUUCAUUAUGAAUUGUAGGGACAAGUCCUACAUUUUGUCUUUAUGAACCUCCUCAUUCUGAUAUUUGUUUUCCUCAAAUUAUCUAUAGCAUCUCGAAGAUAGAUAUGGAAAUGAUCGUAUCAAUCUGUAGAUUCUACUAGACACUUGCUCUUAUAUUAGUGAGAUUGGUGAACGUAGACGAUCUGAUAUCAAAUUGUCACGAUUUAAAAUUCAAGAUCAUCAUGACAGCUACAUUAACCUAUAGAUAGAUAUCACCUAAAUCAAAUAAUUGAAUCAAUAUGCAGAGAUAUAAAGAUAGCAGAAGUAAAGUCUUUAAGUAAAGCUAUUAUAAAUAUAGAUAGAAGUGGGAAAUAACAAAAUACACUCAUACAAGUGUAUCUAAAGACUAUAUUUGUUUCACUACUGUAAUAAUAUUCUAAUAGUAAAGACAGGAAAACAUAAAGACAGAGAAAGUCAGGUAUCACUUUGAACGCCAAGUAGCUCAUCAAAGCUUUCAAAUAAAGUCGUUUGGGGCAAAGAAUCAACUGAGCUUCCUAUAAUUAGGAUCUGUAUCAAAAGAUGCAGCAAGAGUAGUAUGAGUACGAUAACAUGUGUACUCGGCAGACAUCAUAAGCUAACUGAGCAAGAUUUGAAUAGUUAUAUCAUAGAAAGUAUGAAAUGUAACCAAACCAUAUCAUAUACCUCGAUUCAUUACAUCGGGCAAAUAGGGUGGAAGCUAACCGGAAUCAUCCAAUAAGUAAAUACACAACACCAAGUAAAGGAGACUAUAAAAAAAUACAAUCAACACAUAAUAAUAUGCAAUGGUCCAUGAUCCUAUCGAUAUAAACCUGCUCCAUAAUCCUUGUGAGACCGAUAUACCUCGAAAAAGACCUCGGGUUAGCCAAAAAAGACCUUGACACAAUAAUAACAUCAAAUGAUGGAAUCAAUUAGGUGUUUCCAUCACUUUGCUAUAUUCAUCAUAUUCAAGUUGUGAUCCAUGAAAAUAUGUAUGUAUGAUUACAAUAAUAAAGGAUGUUCAUAUACAACAAAAUAAAUAUAUUUCUUUUCAGAAAUAGUGGUCUUGGGUCAAUAACCUUGUCAAUUAAGAAUAUUGUUUUCAACACAGUGCUCUUAAGCCAAUAAAUCAUCAAAGUAUGAUAUAACACAUGAAACAGAGUGAUGCGACAAUAAAUGAACAAUUUCAGUCAUAUAAUGUCUAUCAGCUAGAUCUCAAAUCAGAUUGCAAAUAGAUGUGUCAUUUUUCUCAAUCAUCAAUCUACCAAUAUGUGCAACUCAUAACACACUUGGUACAAUAAAGGUCUAAAAAUUAAGUCAUAACCUACUUUGAAAGUAGAGCAAACGUGCCACGAACCCUUACAAAAUUGCCUUAUCAACAACAACAACAACAACAACAACAUACCAGUAUAUUCCCACCAAGUGGGAUCUGGGGAGGGUAAGUGUACGCAGUCCAUACCACUACCUCGAAAUGCUAUCAGUCUGUCAAAAUCACUCUAUGUGAGUAUACGAGUCCAUCGACACUCAUAUUGCUAGAUAAUAUUUUGGUUCAAAAAUCGAGUCAAAAAGUCAAUUUGAAGCCUUAGAGGUCAAAUCUAGAAAUUGACUUCAAAAUUAGUUUAUUCAUUAGUCAAAAAGCUUAUGCAUCAAAAAUCAACUAAAUUUGAUCAUGAAUGAAACCUCAAACCAAAAAAAAGGUACCAAGUUCCCCACCCCCCACCCGCCGCUCUCCUAUCCACCCCUAUUUUCACUUUUAAUCUUAUCAUAAAUAAGUAAAUUUCUUUUUUUUUUUCAUUAAUAUUUAGUAUUCGUGUUGAAGUCCGAAUAAUUUGGAUUCAUACAUUGUAAGGCUCAUUUAUGUGGGCGGCACUCCCAAAAGGAUUUUUGUCAUUCUCAAUGCUCAAAUUUGAUACAUCUAAUUCAAUACGGAGGAAUGUUUGUCAUCUCAUCAUAAAUCAUAUUGAUAAUAAAUAAAUUUCAUAAACACAACUAUACUAUAAAGAGAUGCAUAGAGAGAUGACAUCACAUAAACUCUUAAUUUAUUCAAAACUAUUUAAUAGAUAAUUUAAUAUAGAGACGUAACAUUAUAGCAUAUUUCUCCUCACUUCAUAUUAAUUAUUUCAUAUUUUUUAUACAUUUUUCGUUGCUACGAAUGAUUUGAAGAAGAAACCUUCGCAAAGGCCCUAGAAGCCUCAUAAAGGUUGCCAAGUGCUCCAUAAUUUUUUGCCGAUGGAGUUCAGGUGAUUGACCAUGCUUCCACUGGAGUUGAUUGAUCAAAAUAUAAAUAUGAAAAUUUAUGAUCGCUUAAAAUAUCAAAUUUUUAUAUUGGCAUAUGUAUGAGUGACGGUGUUGGUGACGAAAAUGGAUGGCAUAUGUUAUUCGAAGUAUAUUUAUAGUAGUUGCUUGUGCAAAUUCGAUCAGAUUUUGAUUGAUCAUUGAAAAUAACGAGUUCUUGAUCAAUAAAAUUUGUGUUGUAUUCAAAAUUAUUCCGAGAAAGAACUAGUAGUAGAAGAAAAAUGAAGAAUGAAAUCGAAAACACGUUGUCAAGUAAUGGAGUGAUAGAUUUGUUUUUCAUUUCAACAAGAAAGAAAAAAUAAGCUUGUGAUUAAACAUAGAAGUGUAGGCUAAACCUUAAUUUUUAUAGGCACCAGAAAAAAAAAGUAUCUCGAGAAAAAGAUUAUGUCAUUUUCAGACGAGUUAGAUAUUAAUAAUGUGUUAGACCACGCCAUGGAAACUAUCUUAUUUUAAGCAUGUGCGGGUCAAACUAUGGUGAAGGUAAUCAUAGUUUGCUCAACUUCUACUAAUUACAUAUUCCGAAUUAUGACUUCAACUUUUCGAAAAACGACUUAAUUGUAUCUAACUAGCAUAUUACACAUGUAACAAUAUAUAUUCAAAAGAAAAUAUAAGCAACUCACUUUGUAAUAUCUAAUUCGUCUGUAAAUGACAUAAUCUUUUUCUCGAGAUUCUCGUCUUUUCUGGUGCCUCUAUGAAUUAAGGUUUAACCUUCACUUCUGUGUUCAAUCACAAGUUUAGUUUUUCUUCCUUACUAAGAUGAAAAACAAAUCUAUCACUCCUUUUCUUGACAACCCGUUUUCGGUUUCAUUCGUCCUUUUUCUUCUUCUACCAGCUCUUUCUCGUAAUAAUUUUGAAUACAACACAAAUUUUAUUGAUCAAGAACUAAUUAUUUUCAAUAAUCAAUCAAAAUAUGAUCGAAUUUGCACAAGCAACUGCUAUAAAUAUACUUCGAAUAGCAAUAUGCCAUCCAUUUUCGUCACCCAUGCAUAUGCCAAUAUACAAAUCCGAUAUUUCAAGCUAUUAUAAAUUUUCAUCUUUAUAUUUUGAUCAACCAACUCCCGUGGAAGCAUAUCAACAAAUUGAUGGAGCUACUGACAUUGCUUUGUCUUUUCUACUAUAGUAGAAGUGUGGGUAUUGACUGAAGUUUCAAUCCUCAAAUUGAGGGAAGUGAGUUUUUAAAUGAAAGUGGAGAGUUAUCAAAUUUGCCCAUUGAACCUAAAAUGCUAACCAUAGCGUUCUCAUAACCACAUCUAAGAAGCUAUAAGCUUUUCAAGUGUUUGUACCAUAAAAUUUAAUUUGUUUUUGAAGUUUUAAAAAAAGUGAUUGUUGAACUACACAUGCCUAAAUUAUGAUCAACAAAGCAGUAAAAUGUUAUAUACAGUUAAGACGCUUAAGACAUUAGCCAAACUGUCAAUUCUGAUUGCUUCCUUUCAGGUUUUCGUGUAUUCUCCAUGUAUUCAGGCUCCUGAACUUUGAUAAGUACUAUUCUUUUGCUUGCUUUGAUUAUUUUAGUUUAGCUUCUCCAAUUUAUCUGUCUCUUUGUUCGUUUGUUAUUCUUGGAUUCACACGUCUCCUUAUUGACUAUUUUUAAACUCGUGUAUAAAAUUUCAUCGUUCUUCAUCUAAGUUUGCUAUUGCUUCUAAUGGUGUAGAUUUAUUUGAAGAAUGAGGAAAUACGUUUCCAACAUCUUCCUUUAGAAAUUGAAUUUCCAACUGCUGGAUUAUGUUCUGUAACAGGUGACAGUGAAGGUAGAGCAGAAAUGACUGGAAGUACGCGACUAAUGCGUGAGUUCUGUGAUCUCUUUGGUUAUAUCGGAGAAAGCCACAAAGAUCAGAAUCGUAAGUUUCUGGUUCCAAUUGAAUUUUACAGUUCAACACCUUUAUCAAUUCAUAUCUUUUUUCUAAACUCUACACUGAGAGUCUCGAAAAGGCUGUCUUUCUGGUUAUUUUAUCUUUUCAUUUGGUUUACUACGCUUUAGAGACAAAUGUACAUCUAUUGGAGAAAACAAUCGCCUGGCUAUAGAUAUAUUUGAAAAGUAAAUAAGAAAAAUUUUAACCGUAAAAGUACUUAGAAAAUUAGUGAGGAUAAGUUGUUACUCGAUACUCAACUGUUAGACUGUUAGUUCUUGCUUUUAUAAUUUGAAAAUAGUUAUUGUUUUACUUGACUGAAGCAUCUACGAAAAAUAAUUUCUCAAUUUUCACAAGGUAGGGAUAAGAUUGUGUAUGAACCACCCUCACCAAACUCCAUGUGCAGGGAAUUACACUGGAUCUUUUUGUUGUUAAAAUGUACGACUUAAAAAUUAAUUAGUGUUCUUAAGAUUGCUGAAGAAAAAUAAGAAGAGACUGCGUGUGGGAUAGGAUAACGCAUCAACACGUGAUUAGAUGAAGAUUGGAAUUGUAUGAAAAGACUACAUGAAAUGUUACGAAAAUCUGAAUGUGACUUAUCUUCAUUCAGUCUAUAAUUUUUCUCUAAUGAUUCAGAUCAUGACCUUACAUGCACACUUUGCUGAUAAUUCAGUUUCUAACUGCCGAAAUAUAACAGUUGGUGCUUAACUUUUCACAGAAAUUUCUUUGACUUGGAAGUGUCCAGAAUGGCUCUGUUUUUAAUUUAAAUUCUUAUGUUUGGAUUAAUGUGGUUAAAAAAAGGGCAGCCUGUUGCACUAAAGCUCCCGCUAUGCGCAGGGUCCGGGGAAGGGCCCCACCACGAGGGUGUAUUGUAUGCAGCCUUACCUUCCAUUUCUCUGUUUGGAUUAAUGUGGUUGAAUUAUAUAAUUGUGCUUAGCUAUUUGGUACUUCUGAAGAAACAUUACUGAAGGCUUGAAGGAUUCUUCUUUGGAGUUUGGACUUCUUUUUUUAUCGGAUGACUUGUUUGAUCAAGCGAGCAACAAAAUGGCAUAUGCUUUUAUGCAUAUCAUCGGAGCAAUAUAAUUGAUAUAUGCUAGAUUUUCGCAAGAGCUUGCUGGGAAUACUCACCAUGUGGCGCGUUGAGGGAACAAAUACAGUAAUGGUGAGACCGUAAGGUUGUAACAAUUGAUGGAUACCAAAAUGUUCUACUGGAUGAAAGUGUCGUCCUUUGUGUUGUGUUGUUGCUCAACAACCUGUUCGUGUGGGCAUCGACAAAAGCUGCUGAUGGUGUCUACUAACGAAGGAAGACACUUAGGGGUUGUGCCAAGUCAACACGGAUCAAAUAAAAUGAAACAGGGGAGUGCUAUUUGAACGCCCUUCAAUUUGUUGGGUGUUAAAUGCAGAGUGCAACAGUCUCUUUUAAGAUUUGUAUAAAAGUUUGGAAUUUACUUUUUGGAUUUGUAAAAUACAAUGUAUUUUUGUAUUAGUUAUUUGUCAAGCUUGAACUAUACAUAAUUUAUGUGCUUAUGAAAUUGCAACAUGAAAUUAUAAAAAUCAAUGUAAUACUUUUAAAUGUUGGGCC